rnacentral:rRNA from 1 species
GACGAACGCUGGCGGCGUGCCUAAUACAUGCAAGUCGAACGAACCGCGACUAGGUGCUUGCACUUGGUCAAGGUGAGUGGCGAACGGGUGAGUAACACGUGGGUAACCUACCUCAUAGUGGGGGAUAACAGUCGGAAACGACUGCUAAUACCGCAUAGGACAUAGGAUCACAUGAUCCAGUUAGGAAAGGUGGCGCAAGCUAUCGCUAAGAGAUGGACCCGCGGUGCAUUAGCUAGUUGGUAGGGUAAAGGCCUACCAAGGCGAUGAUGCAUAGCCGACACGAGAGGGUGAUUGGCCAGAUUGGGACUGAGAAACGGCACAAACUCCUACGGGAGGACGCAGUAGGGAAUCUUCCGCAAUGGACGAAAGUCUGACGGAGCAACGCCGCGUGAGUGAAGAAGGUCUUAGGAUCGUAAAGCUCUGUUGUUAUAGAAGAACAGAGCAUAGAGUACCUGUUAUGCGUGUGACGGUAUCUAACCAGAAAGCCACGGCUAACUACGUG